AUUUUUCUAUAAAAUGAGUUUGUUAUAAACUCAUACUCUAACUUUAUUUACUGGUAAACAAAGAAGCAAUCCAUCAUCGUGUGUUUUACAACCAAAGGUGAGCAAAAAUUGUUGCUAGUGCCAUUGCUGGACUCCUCUAGCUACAAUCAUUAUUUCUUGAACUUGGACUAUCUUUAAAAUUUUCACAUAUUAUUUAGGAUGACAAUAUUGGUGCUAUAUAUCUCACUU
rnacentral:lncRNA from 1 species